rnacentral:tRNA from 1 species
CCGCCAGUAGCGUAGUGGUUAUCGCACCAGACCGGUAUCUGGAGGUCGGGGGUUCGAAUCCCACCUGGCGGG